rnacentral:rRNA from 1 species
AUGCUAAAUGUGGAGAGAAUAAAGUGCAUGCAAGAGAUUGUGUGUGGUUGCUCGGGUGUCCCCAAAAGAAGCAACACACGAACCUGUCGCUGCCGAUGUCCCGCAAUGAUAAGGUUACUCCGGACAAAUGACAAUGGCUGGCAUAUUAGUGAGCACAGAGCAUCCCAUAAUUACUCACUAACGGAAAAUUGUGGCGAGAAGCUGUAUUGGCCUUCACACAGACAUAUUGACAUAUACACAAGAGAUGUUGUGAAGCAGCUGCGCGGAAACAACAUAAGUAUUGGUAAAGUGUACAACAUAAUUGGUAGUUUCUUCGGCGCAAUGAGCAACGUGUCAUUCAGCAAGAGAGCUUUGAGGGGGCUGUGUGGACAGAUCAGCAGAGAACAAGCUGAUGAUAAUGCGCGCAAAACAAUGGAAGUUUUUGCUGAGCUUGGAGCAAAAGACUCUGGCUUGUACUACAGGGUGCAGCCAGAUGAGGACAGUCGGAUAAGGAAUUUGUUGUGGUCAACAGGAGCAAGCAGGUCUCAGUACCAUUUCUUCGGAGAUGCAAUAACAUUUGACACCACGUACCGGACAAAUAUGUAUGACAUGCCUUUCGGCUUAUUUGUGGGAGUCAACAAAUCACUUCCAGACUAUUAUCUUUGGCGGCGUCCUGGUUCGAGAUGA